rnacentral:rRNA from 1 species
AUUCCCUUAGUAGCUGCGAGCGAACAGGGAAAAGCCCAGCACCGAAUCCCGUGGUCGACACCGGUCAUUGGGAAAUGUGGUGUUAGGGAGGACUCAUUUAUCCUGAGAUUGUACGGUGCGUCCAAGUCCUUCUUGAACGGGGCCACAGCCCAUAGAGGGUGCCAGGCCCGUAGUGACCACUGUCAGUCGUGGGAGAGUCUCUCCUCAGAGUCGGGUUGCUUGAGAGUGCAGCCCUAAGUGGGUGGUAAACUCCAUCUAAGGCUAAAUAUAACCACGAGACCGAUAGCGAACAAGUACCGUGAGGGAAAGUUGAAAAGCACUUUGAAGAGAGAGUUCAAGAGUACGUGAAACCGUUCAGGGGUAAACCUGAGAAACCCGAAAGGUCGAAAGGGGAAAUUCAUUCGUGUUUCGGUUGCAGCAUUGGGCAGUUUAAGCAGAAUGGCGUUUCGGCGUUUAUAUUCGCAACUGUUUUAAUGUAUUAUGUAAUCGAAUGCGUGCACUUUUCCCCUAGUAGGACGUCGCGAUCCGUUGAGUGUCGGUCUAAGGUCCAUAGUGGCAGCCCGUAUGAGUAGUUGUGUCAAAGCAAUUACAUGUGCGGACCUAUGGUGUUCCCGGCCGGCUCGCUCGACGGUAUACAAAUGGUGUAGAGCCGCAAAAUUCAUAAUUUGCGUUCGGCCCAUAGCAAGCACAUUUGGUGUUGUUCGGUGUGUCGAAUCUAAUUCGUCCCUGGCCCCUUAUGUCUGUUGGCUGUGGUGUUCUCGAACAGACUCUGAAACACCAAUCUGCGGCGCUAUAGCUUUGGGUACUUUCAGGACCCGUCUUGAAACACGGACCAAGGAGUCUAGCAUGUGCGCAAGUCAUUGGGACAUAACUAAACCUAAAGGCACAAUGAAAGUAAAGGUUUACCUUGCGUAAACUUAGGGAGGAUGAGUGGUUUGCCCUUAAAGUGGCCACUCCGCACUCCCGGGGCGUCUCAUUCUCAUUGCGAGAAGAGGCGCACCAAGAGCGUACACGCUGGGACCCGAAAGAUGGUGAACUAUGCCUGGUCAGGACGAAGUCAGGGGAAACCCUGAUGGAGGUCCGUAGCGAUUCUGACGUGCAAAUCGAUCGUCGGAACUGGGUAUAGGGGCGAAAGACUAAUCGAACCAUCUAGUAGCUGGUUCCCUCCGAAGUUUCCCUCAGGAUAGCUGGCGCUCAUUGCGCACGAGUCUCAUCCGGUAAAGCGAAUGAUUAGAGGCAUUGGGGUCGAAACGACCUCAACCUAUUCUCAAACUUUAAAUGGGUGAGAUCUCCGGCUUGCUCGAACUUAAUGAAGCCGUGAGACACGGAUCAGAGUGCCAAGUGGGCCAUUUUUGGUAAGCAGAACUGGCGCUGUGGGAUGAACCAAACGUCGAGUUAAAGUGCCUAAAUCGACGCUUAUGGGAUACCAUGAAAGGCGUUGGUAACUUAAGACAGCAGGACGGUGGCCAUGGAAGUCGGAAUCCGCCAAGGAGUGUGUAACAACUCACCUGCCGAAGUUACUAGCCCUGAAAAUGGAUGGCGCUGAAGCGUCGUACUUAUACUCGACCGUCAGUGGCAUGUGCGGUUUGUUCAUACGUUUACGUGUAACAAGUCAUGAAGCUCUGACGAGUAGGAGGGUCGCGAUGGUGAGCGCAGAAGGGCUGGCCGUGAGGCCGUCUGGAGCCGCCAUCGGUGCAGAUCUUGGUGGUAGUAGCAAAUACUCCAGCGAGGCCCUGGAGGACUGACGUGGAGAAGGGUUUCGUGUGAACAGCCGUUGCACACGAGUCAGUCGAUCCUAAGCCCUAGGCGAAAGCCGAUGUUGAUGUGGUGUGUAUAUUCAUAAGAAAAUCAAUCAUAUUUUUUCAUAAGAAUAUGUUGCUCACACUCAAUGGGCGAAAGGGAAUCCGGUUCCUAUUCCGGAACCCGGCAGCGGAACCGUAAAUAAGUCGGGCCCUUGCAAAAGAGUUCGUCGGGGUAACCCAAAAGGACCCGGAGACGCCGUCGGGAGAUCCGGGAAGAGUUUUCUUUUCUGCAUGAGCGUUCGAGUUCCAUGGAAUCCUCUAGCAGGGAGAUAUGGUUUGGAACGCGAAGAGCACCGCAGUUGCAGCGGUGUCCGGAUCUUCCCCUCGGACCUUGAAAAUCCGGGAGAGGGCCACGUGGAGGUGUCGCGCCGGUUCGUACCCAUAUCC